rnacentral:rRNA from 1 species
AGAGACCGAUAGCGCACAAGUAGAGUGAUCGAAAGAUGAAAAGCACUUUGGAAAGAGAGUUAAAAAGUACGUGAAAUUGUUGAAAGGGAAGCGCUUGCAACCAGACUUGUCCGCAGUUGCUCAGCCGGUCUCCUGACCGGCGUACUCUUCUGCGGCCAGGCCAGCAUCAGUUCGGGCGGUCGGAUAAAGGCCUCGGGAAUGUAGCUCCUCUCGGGGAGUGUUAUAGCCCGGGGUGGAAUGCGACCAGCCUGGACUGAGGAUCUCGCUUCGGCAAGGAUGCUGGCGUAAUGGUUGUAAGCGGCCCGUCUUGAAACACGGACCAAGGAGUCUAACAUCUAUGCGAGUGUUCGGGUGUCAAACCCGUACGCGUAAUGAAAGUGAACGGAGGUGGGAACCCGCAAGGGUGCACCAUCGGCCGAUCCUGAUGUCUUCGGAUGGAUUUGAGCAAGAGCAUAGCUGUUGGGACCCGAAAGAUGGUGAACUAUGCCUGAAUAGGGUGAAGCCAGAGGAAACUCUGGUGGAGGCUCGCAGCGGUUCUGACGUGCAAAUCGAUCGUCAAAUUUGGGUAUAGGGGCGAAAGACUAAUCGAACCAUU